CUGAAUUACAGGCUCCUUACUUAAAUUGUCAUAAUAUAUACUAAAUGUAUGUUCAUAUUGAAAUUGAUAGAAAACCAAAAAUUCGGAAUUUUGGAAAUAAAGGAGGAGUGAUAAAAAAAAACCAUUUUCCUGUCCCCAAUAACCUAUGACUUAUGAUACUUUUGCUGAAAUUCUCCUUUCAUUCAAUAUUUUACAAAAUUCUUCCAACG
rnacentral:lncRNA from 1 species